ACAGAGGGUGCAAGCGUUAAUCGGAGUUACUGGGCGUAAAGGGGGGGAAGGUGGGAUUUAAAGUAAAUGUGGAAUCCCUGGGGCUUAACUAGGAAAUGGAGGCGAUACUGGAUAUCUUGAGUAUAGUAGAGGAAAGUGGAAUUCUCGGUGUAGUGGUUAAAUACGUAGAUAUCGGGAAGAACACCGGUGGCGAAGGCGACUUACUGGACCAAAACUGACGCUGAGGCGCGAAAGCGUGGGGAGCAAACAG
rnacentral:rRNA from 1 species